CAAAAGGUAACGCAGUUGGUAGCGUGUUCGCUUUGGGAGCGAAAAGACACAGGUUCGAACCCUGUUCUUUUGA
rnacentral:tRNA from 1 species